rnacentral:rRNA from 1 species
GACGAACGCUGGCGGCGUGCUUAACACAUGCAAGUCGAACGGAAAGGCCCUGCUUGCAGGGUACUCGAGUGGCGAACGGGUGAGUAACACGUGGGUGAUCUGCCCUGCACUUCGGGAUAAGCCUGGGAAACUGGGUCUAAUACCGGAUAGGAGCCAUUUUUAGUGUGAUGGUUGGAAAGUUUUUUCGGUGUAGGAUGAGCUCGCGGCCUAUCAGCUUGUUGGUGGGGUAAUGGCCUACCAAGGCGGCGACGGGUAGCCGGCCUGAGAGGGUGGACGGCCAGAUGGUAGUCGAGACACGGCCCAGCCUCCGUCGGGAGGCGGCUGGGGGAGUGAGUGAGCGAUGGGCGCGAGCGUGGGGCAGCGGCGCGGGGUGGUGGAGCUGCGCCGUCGGUUUUUAACCUCCGUCCGGGCGGGGCGAGGCUUUGUGUGCCGUUACCGAGACAAGACGCCCCGGCCAACUGCCGGCCCGCGGCCGCGGUAUUCGGUCGAGGAGCAUCGCCUCCCC